GACGAACGCUGGCGGCGUGCCUAAUACAUGCAAGUCGAACGCUUCUUUCCUCCCGAGUGCUUGCACUCAAUUGGAAAGAGGAGUGGCGGACGGGUGAGUAACACGUGGGUAACCUACCCAUCAGAGGGGGAUAACACUUGGAAACAGGUGCUAAUACCGCAUAACAGUUUAUGCCGCAUGGCAUAAGAGUGAAAGGCGCUUUCGGGUGUCGCUGAUGGAUGGACCCGCGGUGCAUUAGCUAGUUGGUGAGGUAACGGCUCGCCAAGGCCACGAUGCAUAGCCGACCUGAGAGGGUGAUCGGCCACACUGGGACUGAGACACGGCCCAGACUCCUACGGGAGGCAGCAGUAGGGAAUCUUCGGCAAUGGACGAAAGUCUGACCGAGCAACGCCGCGUGAGUGAAGAAGGUUUUCGGAUCGUAAAACUCUGUUGUUAGAGAAGAACAAGGACGUUAGUAACUGAACGUCCCCUGACGGUAUCUAACCAGAAAGCCACGGCUAACUACGUG
rnacentral:rRNA from 1 species